rnacentral:tRNA from 1 species
GCCUGGGUGGCUCCAUCGGUUAGGCGUCUGACUUCAGCUCAGAUCAUGAUCUCACUGUUCGUGGGUUUAAAUCCCACUUUGGGCU